UCUUUAUAGCUUGCUAUAAAGAAUAAUUAGUGGCAGACGGGUGAGUAAUGCAUAGGAAUCUACCUAGUAGUAUGGGAUAGCCACUAGAAAUGGUGGGUAAUACUGUAUAAUCCCUGCGGGGGAAAGAUUUAUCGCUAUUAGAUGAGCCUAUGUUAGAUUAGCUAGUUGGUAGGGUAAAGGCCUACCAAGGCGAUGAUCUAUAGCUGGUCUGAGAGGAUGAUCACCCACACCGGAACUGAGAUACGGUCCAGACUCCUACGGGAGGCAGCAGUGGGGAAUAUUGGACAAUGGGCGCAAGCCUGAUCCAGCUAUGCCGCGUGAGUGAGGAAGGCCUUAGGGUUGUAAAACUCUUUCAGUAGGAAAGAUAAUGACGGUACCUACAGAAGAAGUCCCGGCAAACUCCGUGCCAGCAGCCGCGGUAAUACGGAGGGGGCAAGCGUUGUUCGGAAUUAU
rnacentral:rRNA from 1 species